GGAGGUAUAGUUCAAGGGUAGAGUGUGUUCCUCGCAUGCACAAGGUCCCAGGUUCAAUCCCCAGUACCUCCA
rnacentral:tRNA from 1 species